GAGUAUAUAGCUCAGAUGGUAGAGCAGCGGGCUUUUAACCUGUAGGCCAUAGGUUCAAAUCCUAUUAUACUCA
rnacentral:tRNA from 1 species